AAGUCGUAACAAGGUUUCCGUAGGUGAACCUGGGGAAGGAUCAUUAAUAAAAAGUUCGUCAACGGGAUCUAACUCUAAACUAAAUCCCGAGUUGGGCGAGCCAUCGGCUAGGUUUGCGUACGCGAAGUGUUCGAUUGACGAAUUGGGCUGCGGGGGGUACCCACCGACAACAUCCCCCAUGUGCGGGAGACGCUCGGAGGUACCCCUAUCGUGGAAUAAAAGGGGCAGCGGUAUCACUUCGGGAGCCGCGUAAGGGAGGAAGCUUACCCGCCUCCCGAAGUGAUCCUCCCUACCCAUGACCACACACGAUAAGCGACUCAAUUCCAAAACCCUUUGUUUGCCCAGCGCAAAACAUACUUCAAACUUUUUUCGUCUGAAUCUUUUUGUUGUUCUUUUUGAACUCCAAUAUGAAUUAUAAACAA
rnacentral:misc_RNA from 1 species